GACGAACGCUGGCGGCGUGCUUAACACAUGCAAGUCGAACGGGAUCCAGAACUUCGGUUCUGGUGAGAGUGGCGAACGGGUGAGUAACACGUGAGUAACCUGCCCCCUUCAUUGGGAUAACGUCGAGAAAUCGGCGCUAAUACUGAAUAUUCUGGCUCUGCCGCAUGGCGGAGCUUGGAAAGGAUUCUGGUAGGGGAUGGACUCGCGGCCUAUCAGCUUGUUGGCGGGGUAACGGCCCACCAAGGCGACGACGGGUAGCCGGCCUGAGAGGGUGACCGGCCACACUGGGACUGAGACACGGCCCAGACUCCUACGGGAGGCAGCAGUGGGGAAUAUUGCACAAUGGGCGAAAGCCUGAUGCAGCGACGCCGCGUGAGGGAUGACGGCCUUCGGGUUGUAAACCUCUUUCAGUAGGGAAGAAGCUUUCGGGUGACGGUACCUGCAGAAGAAGCGCCGGCUAACUACGUG
rnacentral:rRNA from 1 species